GACGAACGCUGGCGGCGCGCCUAACACAUGCAAGUCGAACGAGAGAGAAGGAGCUUGCUUCUUCGAUCGAGUGGCGAACGGGUGAGUAACGCGUGAGGAACCUGCCUCAAAGAGGGGGACAACAGUUGGAAACGACUGCUAAUACCGCAUAAGCCCACGGGUCGGCAUCGACCUGAGGGAAAAGGAGCAAUCCGCUUUGAGAUGGCCUCGCGUCCGAUUAGCUAGUUGGUGAGGUAAUGGCCCACCAAGGCGACGAUCGGUAGCCGGACUGAGAGGUUGAACGGCCACAUUGGGACUGAGACACGGCCCAGACUCCUACGGGAGGCAGCAGUGGGGAAUAUUGCACAAUGGGGGAAACCCUGAUGCAGCGACGCCGCGUGGAGGAAGAAGGUCUUCGGAUUGUAAACUCCUGUUGUUGAGGAAGAUAAUGACGGUACUCA
rnacentral:rRNA from 1 species